rnacentral:rRNA from 1 species
GUGGGGAAUAUUGCGCAAUGGGCGAAAGCCUGACGCAGCAACGCCGCGUGGGUGAUGAAGGCCUUCGGGUUGUAAAGCCCUGUCAGGUGGAACGAAUCUCUCUUGAGUGAAUACCUCGAGAGAAUGACGGUACCACCAGAGGAAGCCCCGGCAAACUACGUGCCAGCAGCCGCGGUAAUACGUAGGGGGCAAGCGUUGUUCGGAAUUACUGGGCGUAAAGAGCGCGUAGGCGGUUAGGUAAGUCGGGUGUGAAAUCCCUCAGCUCAACUGAGGUUUGGCGCUCGAAACUAUCUGACUUGAGUUUAGGAGAGGAGAGUGGAAUUCCCAGUGUAGCGGUGAAAUGCGUAGAUAUUGGGAGGAACACCGGUGGCGAAGGCGGCUCUCUGGACUAAUACUGACGCUGAGGCGCGAAAGCUAGGGGAGCAAACAGGAUUAGAUACCCGAGUAGUCC